rnacentral:rRNA from 1 species
GACGAACGCUGGCGGCGUGCUUAACACAUGCAAGUCGAACGGAAAGGCCCUGCUUUUGUGGGUUGCUCGAGUGGCGAACGGGUGAGUAACACGUGAGUAACCUGCCCUUGACUUUGGGAUAACUUCAGGAAACUGGGGCUAAUACCGGAUAGGAGCUCCUGCUGCAUGGUGGGGGUUGGAAAGUUUCGGCGGUUGGGGAUGGACUCGCGGCUUAUCAGCUUGUUGGUGGGGUAGUGGCUUACCAAGGCUUUGACGGGUAGCCGGCCUGAGAGGGUGACCGGCCACAUUGGGACUGAGAGACGGCCCAGACUCCUACGGGAGGCAACAGGGGAGAAUAUUGCACAGUGGGCGGAAGCCUGAUGCAGAAACGCCGCGUGCGGGAUGACGGCCUUCGGGUUGUAAACCGCUUUCGCCGGUGACGAAGAGUGAGUGACGGUAAUGAGUAAAGAAGCACCGGCUAACUACGUG